UACGGAGGGUGCAAGCGUUAUCCGGAUUCACUGGGUUUAAAGGGUGCGUAGGCGGACAGGUAAGUCAGUGGUGAAAUCUCUGGGCUUAACCCAGAAACUGCCGUUGAUACUAUUUGUCUUGAAUAUCCUGGAGGUAGGCGGAAUAUGUCGUGUAGCGGUGAAAUGCUUAGAUAUGACAUAGAACACCGAUAGCGAAGGCAGCUUACUACAGGAUGAUUGACGCUGAGGCACGAAAGCGUGGGGAGCAAACAGG
rnacentral:rRNA from 1 species